GCACUGCUUGUUCCCAGUUGUUGUAACAAGUUUGGAACAAACUGUUAAACAACUUGUAACAAGCUUGACGGCAUUAUCAGACUUGUUACAAGGUUGUUCUAACAAGUCUGAUACAGUCAUGAUAAGUUUGUAACAAUAUUGUUAUAUCAUGACUGCAUCGGACUUGUUGGAACAACCUUGCAACAAGUCUGAUAGUAUCAAUAAGGUUGUCACAAGUUGUUAACAGUUUGUUCCAAACUUGUUGACAACUUGGGAGAAGCAGUGC